rnacentral:rRNA from 1 species
ACGGAAGGCAGCAGUGGGGAAUAUUGCACAAUGGGCGAAAGCCUGAUGCAGCGACGCCGCGUGAGUGAAGAAGUAUCUCGGUAUGUAAAGCUCUAUCAGCAGGGAAGAAAAUGACGGUACCUGACUAAGAAGCCCCGGCUAACUACGUGCCAGCAGCCGCGGUAAUACGUAGGGGGCAAGCGUUAUCCGGAUUUACUGGGUGUAAAGGGAGCGUAGACGGUUUGGCAAGUCUGAAGUGAAAUGCGGGGGCUCAACUCCUGAACUGCUUUGGAAACUGUCGAACUAGAGUGCAGGAGAGGUAAGUGGAAUUCCUAGUGUAGCGGUGAAAUGCGUAGAUAUUAGGAGGAACACCAGUGGCGAAGGCGGCUUACUGGACGAUAACUGACGUUGAGGCUCGAAAGCGUGGGGAGCAAACAGGAUUAGAUACCCUGGUA